GUCCACGCGGUAAACGAUGAAUGCUAGGUGUCGGGAGCAAAGCUCUUCGGUGCCGCCGCAAACGCAUUAAGCAUUCCACCUGGGGAGUACGUUCGCAAGAAUGAAACUCAAAGGAAUUGACGGGGCCCGCACAAGCGGUGGAUUAUGUGGUUUAAUUCGAAGCAACGCGAAGAACCUUACCAGGGUUUGACAUCCUGCUAACGAAGUAGAGAUACAUUAGGUGCCCUUGGGGAAAGCAGAGACAGGUGGUGCAUGGUUGUCGU
rnacentral:rRNA from 1 species